GCCCGGUUAGCUCAGUGGUUUGAGCGUGAUGCUGACAACAAUGACCGACACCAAGAUUGCGGGUUCGAUUCCCGCUCGGUCC
rfam:Apaloderma vittatum contig67873, whole genome shotgun sequence.